UGACAGCUUAAAUAUUAUUCAAAUAAUAAAAACAAGUUAAUAGUGGAUUUGUAAAGCAUGGCUUUUAUUUAGGAUUUUACAAGUCUUUACCAGGGUGCCAAUAUAGAACUCAACACACCUGAAUAUCAUAAUUAGAUCAUUAGCAGGACUCUGUAGAACUUGAGUACAUGAGGAGAUAAUUCAGCUAUUUGAUUCAGGUGUGUUGGACUCACUGAAGAAAAUACAAGUUGCAUGACAUCGCAACUUGAGGACUGGAGUUUGACAUCUGUGGUCAAAGCACAGUGGUUGAAAACUACAAAGAUGUACAACAUUAAUACUGUAAGGCUGCUGAGACCUACCACGCCGUUGACAGACAGCAGCUGAUCCCCUCGUUUUAGGCCACCGUGCCUUUCAGCCACUCCUCCAGGAAUGAUGCGGGAGAUGUAUAUAGAUGGGAAAUGCUCAACUUCCUCUGCAUCUUUACCCACUUCAGCAUCUGCAGCUCAGCUGUCACUACAUCUACCAUAUGCUAACCCUUCACAUGAGAGACAGGGGUCACGGGGGAGCUGGUGACUAUCCCCAGCAGUCUACUGGCUAGAGGUGGGGUACACCCUGGACAGGUCGCCAGUCCAUCGCAGGGCAACACAGAGACACACAAGACAAACAAACAUGCACACCUAAGGGCUAAUCAGAGAUACCAGAUAACCUAACAGUCAUGUUGUUGCACUGUGGGAGGAAGCACUAGUGCCCGUAGAAAGUCCCCCGGACCGGAGUCGAACCCAGGACCCUUUUGCUGGGAGGCAACUAUGCCACCCUGAUGGACCUUGCCCAUUGGUUUUAGAUUAUGACCUCAAUCUGUUUUGAAAAUCUGGUGUAAUUGGUCCCAGUUUUCUCUAUUAUGAUUCUAGUAUAUAUUAUCUGCCAUUGUUUAUCGCACCUUUUAUCCUCUGACUGAUUGUAUAGGCUCUAGCUCCGUGCAACCCUGGACAGAAUGAGGUAAUUAUAUAAAAAUGGAUGAAGAAAUA